UGCAGUCGAGCGGCAGCGCCGUGUAUCAUCCAUGGACGGCUGCCGGCAAACGGGUGCCGAACAUUUUCGCUCCCUUCCUUUAACUGGAAAAUGUGCCCUCACAAGAGGGAUUAAUACUCCGUACAUCCCUAUAUGGCAUCUUAACGGGAUUAUAGCCCUCGGGCGGUUGAAGAUGGGCGUGCCCCUGAUUACAAUGUUGGCGGGGUAACGGCCCACCAUCUCUGCCAUCGGUAACUGGUGUGAGACCACGACCAGUCACACGGGCACUGAGACACGGGCCCGACUCCGACGGGAGGCAGCAUUAAGGAAUAUUGGUCAAUGGACGCAAGUCUGAACCAGCCAUGCCUCGUGGAGGUUUAAGGCCCUCUGGGUUGUAAACUCCUUUUAUCUGGGAAGAAAUGCCAGUUUUCUAAUUGGUUUGACGGUACCAGAGGAAUAAGCACCGGCUAACUCCGUGCCAGCGGCCGCGGUAAUACGGAGGGUGCAAGCGUUAUCCGGAUUCACUGGGUUUAAAGGGUGCGUAUGCGGGCAGGUAAUUCCGUGGUGAAAUCUCUGAACUUAACUCACAAACUGCCAUGGAUACUAUUUGUCUUGAAUGUUGUGGAGGUAAGCGGAAUAUGUCAUGUAGCGGUGAUAUGCUUACACAUGACAUAGAACACCAAUUGCGAACGCAGCUUACUACACAGAUAUUGACGCUGAGGCACGAAAGCGUCGGGGAUCAAACAGGAUUAGAUACCCUGGUAGUCCACGCACUCAACGAUGAUUACUCGACGUCAGCGAUGCACUGUUGGUGUCUGAGCGAAGGCAUUAAGUAAGUCCACCCUGGGAGUACGAUC
rnacentral:rRNA from 1 species